rnacentral:rRNA from 1 species
ACUGCCGGUGAUAAACCGGAGGAAGGUGGGGAUGACGUCAAGUCAUCAUGGCCCUUAUGGGCUGGGCUACACACGUGCUACAAUGGCCGGUACGAGAGGGUUGCCAACCCGCGAGGGGGAGCCAAUCUCAGAAAACCGGUCGUAGUCCGGAUCGCAGUCUGCAACUCGACUGCGUGAAGUCGGAAUCGCUAGUAAUCGCGAAUCAGCAUGCCGCGGUGAAUACGUUCCCGGGCCUU